CCUACGGGCGGCAGCAGUGGGGAAUUUUGCGCAAUGCUCGUAAGAGUGACGCAGCGACGCCGCGUGAAUGACGAAGGCCUUCGGGUCGUAAAGUUCUUUCGACAGGGAAGAAAAUGCCUAUAAGUAACUGUGUAUGUAUUGACGGUACCUGUAUAAGCAGCCCCGGCUAACUCCGUGCCAGCAGCCGCGGUAAUACGGAGGGGGCGAGCGUUGUUCGGAGGGACUGGGCGUAAAGAGCACGUAGGCGGUGUUGUAAGUCAUUGGUCAAAGACUAGAGCUCAACUUUAGUAAGGCUAGUGAUACUAUAAUACUAGAGUAUCAGAGAGGAUUGCAGAAUUCCUGGUGUAGCGGUGAAAUGCGUAGAUAUCAGGAGGAAUACCGUUAGCGAAGGCGGCAAUCUGGCUGGAAACUGACGCUGAGGUGCGAAAGCGUGGGUAGCAAACAGGAUUAGAUACCCUUGUAGUC
rnacentral:rRNA from 1 species